UACGUAGGGAGCAAGCGUUGUCCGGAAUCAUUGGGCGUAAAGGGUGCGUAGGUGGCGCGCUAAGUCAGGUGUGAAAUUUCGGAGCUUAACUCCGAAACUGCAUUUGAUACUGGCGUGCUUGAGGACUGGAGAGGAGACUGGAAUUCAUGGUGUAGCAGUGAAAUGCGUAGAGAUCAUGAGGAAGACCAGUGGCGAAGGCGGGUCUCUGGACAGUUCCUGACACUGAGGCACGAAGGCCAGGGGAGCAAACGGG
rnacentral:rRNA from 1 species